GUCCGUCGUAGUUUCAGCCCGAAAGGCAUGGCUGUUGGCCGAGAAGGUUGUCUCUUCCCUUUACUCUUCUAAGAGUAUCAGCACACUUGUCGACUUGCCUUGAAGGCCUCUUCAAUUGGCACUACUCUCCUCCAGAAAUGGAGGUGGCUGUCCAUUCCCAGGGCAGGCUCCAAGGAACUCCUGCUCGGCGGCGGCUCCGGCUUCGUGCGCUCCCGCGGG
rnacentral:lncRNA from 1 species